rnacentral:sRNA from 1 species
AUAUGAUAGCUAAGAAGUGGCACAUUAAUGAAGCGCCGCUACAGGGGUCUUUUCUGCUCCUGUCACCGCUUAAAACUAUCAGAUGGUUCGAGGGAGGACAUGGAAGCAGCCACCUAGCUCAGCGGAGACGCGGAGCCCACAGCAGCGCCCUCCGGAGCCCUAAGACGUCGCUGCCACCACCCGCGCCGGGACUCCGCCGCCGAGCUCGGCUGCCCGCAGGACGCUCCAGGAGCGUCGCGGACCGGGCGGCACGGGACGCUGCGGGGCUGAGCUCAAGAGCCCAGGUUCGCGCCGAGUCCAACCGGACCCGGACGCUGCGCGCGGACUGCGCGCCGAGAGAGAAGCGGCGCGCAGUGGCGCCCUCCCGGAUGCGGACGCACAACUUGAAGCAACUUUAAGCAGAGAAUGUGGAUUUAAAUGGGAUAAAGCAACAAAGUCGACUUAGGGCCGGAGAGCCCAUCGGAACCUUCCACUUCCUUUGCAAGCAGAGAUAACUGGCUACAGUCAGCCUUCCCAGGACCUGAUGCUAAUGGAUAACUGCAAGAUCAGAAGGAGAUGGGUCUUGCCAUGUUGUGCAGGCUAGACUCAAACUCCUGGAUUCAAGCAAUCCUCCUGCGGACUCAGAUGAUCCUUCUGCCUCAGCUUCCUGAGUAGCUGGGGUAAAGCUUAUAAAAUAACAUCAUUAUUGCCAAAACCUAAGAUUGGAUGCAUGAUAUUUUUGGACCUUUGCAUUCUGAUUACCAACUGACUCCACCC